GUGGUGUCUACGUCGCGGUCCGACUUUUCGUUGCCGAGAUACGGACGGUAACUUAAAAAGGGCGUGGUCAAAAUUUUUGAUGACGUCAUUUUCAAAAUCAGAAUUUUACGCUGAUUCGAAUGGUGGUGUCUACGUCGCGGUCCGACUUUUCGUAGCCGAGAUACGGACGGUAACUAAAAAAGGGCGUGGUCAAAAUUUUUGAUGACGUCAUUUUCUAAAUCAGAAUUUUACGCUGAUUCGAAUGGUG